rnacentral:rRNA from 1 species
CAGCAGCCGCGGUAAUACGUAGGUGGCAAGCGUUGUCCGGAAUUAUUGGGCGUAAAGGGCUCGCAGGCGGUUUCUUAAGACUGAUGUGAAAGCCCCCGGCUCAACCGGGGAGGGUCAUUGGAAACUGGGAAACUUGAGUGCAGAAGAGGAGAGUGGAAUUCCACGUGUAGCGGUGAAAUGCGUAGAGAUGUGGUGGAACACCAGUGGCGAAGGCGACUCUCUGGUCUGUAACUGACGCUGAGGAGCGAAAGCGUGGGGAGCGAACAGGAUUAGAUACCCGAGUAGUCCCUGUCUCUUAUAC